CAGAAGCUAGUUUAACAAAAAUAGUUGUUUUGGGGACAACCGAUAUAAGGAUCUUCUUGUGCUUCUGA
rnacentral:tRNA from 1 species